rnacentral:rRNA from 1 species
GCCCUUACUCCUACGGGAGGCAGCGGUGAGGAAUAUUGGUCAAUGGACGAAAGUCUGAACCAGCCAUGCCGCGUGAAGGAUGACGGCCCUAUGGGUUGUAAACUUCUUUUAUAUGGGAAUAAACCCCCGGACGUGUCCGGGGCUGAAGGUACCAUACGAAUAAGGAUCGGCUAACUCCGUGCCAGCAGCCGCGGUAAUACGGAGGAUCCAAGCGUUAUCCGGAUUUAUUGGGUUUAAAGGGUGCGUAGGCGGACUAAUAAGUUAGUGGUGAAAGCCCGGGGCUCAACUCCGGAACUGCCAUUAAUACUGUUAGUCUUGAAUCAACUUGAAGUGGGCGGAAUAAGGCAUGUAGCGGUGAAAUGCAUAGAUAUGCCUUAGAACACCGAUUGCGUAGGCAGCUCACUAAAUUUGUAUUGACGCUGAGGCACGAAAGCGUGGGGAGCGAACAGGAUUAGAUA